ACGAACGCUAGCGACAGGCCUAACACAUGCAAGUCGAGGGGCAGCACAAGGAGCAAUCUGAGGUGGCGACCGGCGCACGGGUGAGUAACACGUAUGCAACCUGCCUGUAAGCGGGGAAUAACCCGUUGAAAGACGGACUAAUACCGCAUAAUACUAAAUUACUGCAUGGUAAUUUAUUUAAACAUUUAUGGCUUACAGAUGGGCAUGCGCAUGAUUAGCUAGUUGGAGAGGUAACGGCUCCCCAAGGCAACGAUCAUUAGGGGUUCUGAGAGGAAGGUCCCCCACACUGGUACUGAGACACGGACCAGACUCCUACGGGAGGCAGCAGUGAGGAAUAUUGGUCAAUGGACGAGAGUCUGAACCAGCCAAGUCGCGUGCAGGAAGAAUGUCCCUAUGGAUUGUAAACUGCUUUUGCAGGGGAAUAAAGUGCAUCACGUGUGAUGUUUUGUAUGUACUCUGCGAAUAAGGAUCGGCUAACUCCGUGCCAGCCGCCGC
rnacentral:rRNA from 1 species